GGCCUUGGCGAGGUCACCUCGAGCUCGCCGAUCAUUGGCGAGGCCCCAUGAGCCUUGUUGAGGUUGGUCGAGGCUCAACCUCGCAUAGCCACAGCGAGGCUCGAGGGGACCUCACCGAUGGCACCUCACCAGUGGCUGGAUGGGCUCCCCGAGGCCGCCGGCGACCUCGACAGUGCUGGCAUCUGUCAUACCCGGAUCUUGCCUCCCUCGUCCGCUUUUGUCCCCUUCUCUCGUUCUCCCUGGCCUCUUUCACUCUCUCUCCACUCUAUACAUACGGACUUGACCAGACCGCCACCUCCCCAACCCAAACGCUCUUCACACACUGCAGCAACGAGAGGCUCCAUCGCAGACCCACCCCUUCCGACCAAUUUCACCCAGGUCCUCCGCAGUUGCCCCACCAACUCCUCCUCUCCAAUCUUGAAUGCCAACACGGCGACACCCCUGCGAGCUCCCAGUGAUAGGCCUGAAUGGGGUGAGCAGUGGGGUGAGCAGUGAGUGUGAGGCAGAGAGGCAGUCGUGCGCAGAGGCCAUAUGCAGCGCCGCCAAAGAUUGGGGAUUCUUCCAGGUGCUUCUUGGAGAUGUAGGAGCUGGACAAUCUGGCUUAGUACUGCGGUUUGUUAAAGGCCAAUAUGUUAAAUUUCAGCCCUGCCUUCUUUUCUCAGACUUCGGCUAUAAAUGAUGCAACUGUGAAGUUUGAGAUCUGAGAUACUGCUAGCCAAGAGAGAUACCACAGCUUGGCUCCUGUGUACUAUAGAGGAGCUGCUGCGGCAAUCAUCGUGUCUCAUGACACAUUUAGCAUCAUUUGAGCGAGCCAAAGUGGGUGCAAGAACUUCAAGCACAGGGUAGUGAUAAAUAUUUUUUGCUUGACUUCUCUAUGUUAUAGUUAUUUGUUUGGCUUUGCUGUUGGUUUGCAGAAAAAGUGGUUUGCUUGUUAUCCUUUUGCUUCCCCUUUUGGGCUUUGAAAUACUUG